rnacentral:lncRNA from 1 species
UCCUCCUCCAUUUUUCAGACCAAAGUACCCGAGGCAACCAGGGAUGCCUGGUAAUGUUUACUGCCACCCAUGUUCUAAAAAUUGGUCUAUGCACCCACCUAGGCAGCAAAAUGGUCCUACCUGAAACAAAUUUUUUAAAAAUCCGAUUUAUAUGAUUUAAAUUGGUUCAAACUGUUUUAAAUCGGUCUAAAUAAAAUUAGUCUAAAUCUAUUAAAUUAAACAAUAAUGUUAGUACAAAUCCACAAAUUUGUCAUUCAUCGAUCUUUGAUUGAGUUUAUGGAUACUAACCUUAAAGAGGUUUCUGUUGCAGAUGAUGAGCUGGACAUGGAAAACGCUUUCAAAAGAGCAAUGCCUUGGAUGGGAGAAGAGUUUGGGAUGAAAGACGCGCAGAGUUCGAUGUUUC